AGUUAGUGGCGGACGGGUGAGUAACGCGUGGAAAACCUGCCGUAUACUGGGGGAUAACACUUAGAAAUAGGUGCUAAUACCGCAUAAGCGCACAGCUUCGCAUGAAGCGGUGUGAAAAACUCUGGUGGUAUACGAUGGUUCCGCGUCUGAUUAGCUAGUUGGGGGGGUAAUGGCCUACCAAGGCAACGAUCAGUAGCCGGCCUGAGAGGGUGAACGGCCACAUUGGGACUGAGACACGGCCCAAACUCCUACGGAAGGCAGCAG
rnacentral:rRNA from 1 species